AGCACUUUGAAAAGCGUCCAGAAAAGCGCUAUAUAAUGAUCUGAAGGGACCUCCUUUGGAGAGACUUGAUCCUAUGCCUUUGUAUCAUCUUGGAUUAAAGCAGUCCACUGCUCAUCCACUUCGUGACCCAGACCUCUGUGGUCACUUCUAUUUUAAGGGGGCGUGUAUAAGUGUUGCUGCCUCGCAGAGCUGGAGCCCUGGAUUCUCGAGGUGAAGGGGGUUUGAAUUUAUGUGUGUGUUUCUUCUAGGUGCUCCAGUUUCCUUCCACAGUCCAAGUGCUUUUUAUAGGCUAAGUGUAAAAACUAAUCCCUGUGUGAGUGUGUUUACAUCUGUGUGUGCCCUGCAAUGAACUAGUGUCCCAUCCAGUCCAUCCUUGCACUUAUUGUUUCCCUGGAUAGGCUCUGGUCCACUAUGACCCUGAAUCAGAUAAGCAUCAUAUUUAAAAAAACUGAAAAAAUAGGGUUCAUUACAGUUCAUUACAGCGCAAUCAGUCAAGACUUUUCUUUAAUGUAAAUUUUAACAAAUUAACAAUUCAUUAAAAAUAAUACUUUCAAAUAUAAUGCCACCAGGAACCAGAACAUUAAUUGAAUUUUUUGCAGGGAAAUGUAGGACAGUUACUGCAUCUAAUCAAACCAGCCCACUGUGUCAAUUGUCUGUCCUGUGAGCCUUUGUGCAGCAGAGUGCCAUGCUUUAGGCAGAGUACAAAAGCGGCAGUAGCAUCAGUCACUUGGAGAUGGGCAUUAGCAUUCAACCAUAAUCUAGACCUUUGACUGGGGAAUGCUAAGUAAUUUGAAGAAUUGGGAAAAUGAAAGGGAGGAGUAGGGUCUUUUCUCCAUUUCUGCAUUUCAGUUCUUGGUUCUCUGCCCUGUAUUCAUACAAAGCUGAACUUUUAUUUGGGUAAAGAAAAUGACGUGUUUCUCCAUACAGUUCCAUAUUACAAAGAUAGGCAUUAGGAAAAGUGACUAUAUGUACAGUACUUAUUAGGAGCUCUGCAAGUGAGUAUUUUUAUAAAUCCCAAUUUCCCAACAUGAUUCAUAUGCAAAAUAUUAAAUAUUUUGUGUGAAUUAUUUGUAGUAUAGAAGAAUCACAGUUUAUUUUGGUUAAUUUUGUUUAUCAUCUCCUUGACACUGUGUCAGUUGUAUUAAUAGAAAUAAAUCUAUGAAAUGCUCAUGUAACAGAAAAUAUCAGUGGCUUCCAGCUCUCAUACUGUGAAACUGCUGGGUCAACUUAAGUUCUUAAUUGAUUUCAGUUUCCUAUAUCUUUUCAGAAGUACCGUAGCUCUUUAAGUUCUGUAUUUUUAAUGGUGUAUUAAUAGGUUUGCUUCCUGCAUAUAAUAUUCUGCAGUUCUCUAAAUUAAAAGACAUUUUACUGGCUUUUGAAUUUAAACAAAAGCUUGGAAUUGCAUUUACUGUUUCUAUAUCAUUUCAUAAUUAUCAUUUAAAAUCUUGCCUAAUUUCUUAACUAUACCAGAAUCUUGAUUAUUCAUAUACAUAAGGGGUCCUAGUACUGAUCCGUGUUGUACUAUGUACAUCACUCUAGCAUGAACAUUAAACCAUUAUCUGCAUUCUCUGUCCAUUAACCAGUUCUUAAUCCAAAUGCACACAUUUACCUGAAUGUCUGCCACCUGUUUUGUGUUUGAUAUGUUGACAUUGCCACUUGUCAUCUUCUGUUCAUCAUAAAUUAAUCAUCUGGAAAUUAUUUAAGCAGGUGGGGAAAAAAAGCAGCAUACACAAGAGUAUCCUUGGACCAGGUCUGAGAAAUAGAUUUUUAGAUACUCAAUUUUUGGCCUCAAUCUCUGAUGCAUCUCAGUUAGGUCUAUUCCUACUUUCACAGGUUCAUUUUCUCUCAUUUUACUCUUUUGGAUUGUACUUGGGUGACUAAAGGUCUUCAGCACGUGCCUUGGAUGUUUUCUCAAUCUUGCUACAUACAUCUAGCCUCUGUCAAUCUAGUUCAUUGUUCAAAUGCUCCUAGUAUUGAACAUUUUGUUUUCUGAAGGUUGUGUUCUAACUAUCAGAAUUUUUUCUCUUAAUAUAACAGAAUUGUUUCAGUUUUGUUGUACUUUGUUCCACAGACUCAACAAGGAGAUAAUGAAUUUGUGAGUUCUCGAGUAGGCUCCCCUGUCUUUCUUUGUUUUCUUGGACCUGUUUACAAUGUUGGAUUGAGAUGUAUAUAAUCAAAGUAGUGUUCCAUGAUCAGCUUAAUUUGGCUUCAUUAAUAUGUCCAAGGUUUAAUGCAGCAUCCCAACAGCAAAGGCUAUAACAGGCAACAGUUGAUGUCAGGGAUGCCUGAUAUUCCCUUCUUCUUUUUGGAUAUUGUACCUCAUUCUGCCUGUCCAUGUGCCAUUUCUACCUGUAUUAAGUGUACACAACUUUGCAUAUCACAGUAAUAUGCUUUAUUACAUUGUUAUAUGCAGAUAAUGUGUUCCAGCCCCUGUCUCAUCUGCUAAGCUUUUUUUUUUCCAGUGCUCUAUCUGAGUUUAAUCCCACUCUGUAUUAUUCAGAUCUAAGCAGUUUAAGAAAUAUCAUCCUUCUAUUUGAGUUUCUGAUAAGGGAUCUUUUUAAAAGCAACAUAUGUAUGUAUUUUUAUAAUUCUCUUCUUGCCUGCAUUCUAUAAUAAAUAUGAAUGUGGUUCCUCUCUUUAAUUUAUUUUAUUCUUUGUUUCCCCUUUCACCUCUUUAGUGCAUUAGGCUAGAUUGAUUAUCUGCAUUUCAAAAUUGACAUGGGUAUGGUGUUAACUGCAUACUAAAUUCUCCGUUCUGCAAUAUUAAAGACCAGAUCUGCUAGUUUCAUUUCUGCAUCUUUGUGUUACAAUCACUGUCUCAUUGGACUGAUCCCAAUUUUCCUAUAUCUUUAAAUCAACUUGAAAAAGUCUAUUCACUCUAUAUAUAUUUAUUAUGAGAUUAAAUGUAUCCUGGGGAUUUCUAAACACAUUGAAUAUUGCAUUUUGGCCCCAUAGGUAUGCAUAUAUUGACAAUGAUUUUUAGUGUUGAGAACCAAAGUCCUAGAAAACAUGACAUUUCUACGCUUCUGUGUUCUUUAAUAACAAAAGCCUUAAAGAUAAUCCCUCAUUCUCUUCUCUACUUGAAUAAAGGGAUUCACAUUCAAUCCAAUAUAUUAAGUGACAAUUGGCUCUCUCAUUUCAGAACUUGCAACCUCAAUACAAGGCUCCUUGCUUUUCUUCAAUUUACGGCUCAAUUUUACAAUUUUGUGGUGGCCCUUGGGGGAAAGGCUUUUUCCACACCCACUGCAUUCUCAUUGCUCAUUUUACAUUUAUUAAAAGCCUAAGUAUGAGUAGUAUUGUCAUCUGUACAUCACAGGAUAAAAAUAAAUUUAACUGCUCUAAAUUAGAUUACUUUAUUCUAUGAAUUUGUUUUGUUGUAAUAGGUUCAUUGGUUUUAAAUUCACUCCAGUAUAACAUGAUUUUGUUUUACAGUGCUCAGAACAAAAAUUAAAAAGUGCCUUUUUCUUGUAACAUUUGAACACAGAUACUUCAUCGCAUCACUGGAAUUAAUUUCUUGGAAAUUGUAAACAAACUGCCCAGAUAGUUUACUUAACAGCAGAGACAGCAGCAACAAUACCACUGCAUGGGAGAAGCUGUGCAGAAAAAUAUAGAAAUAGCUGCUUAAAGAUUGUGGCAUUUUGUGUCAAACAGACAAUAUUUUACAAGCAUGUUCAUUGCUGGAAUGUAGGCAUACCUUCUCAAGAUUAAAUCUCCUGGUGUUUGAGGUUGCUUUACAGGUCAAUAUGCAGUUUGUAUUGACUAAAAUCCAAUUACAAGGCUUUUGGGAGAAUGAAAAAUGUCAUCCUGGUGUACACAAUUCUAAAAAGACUAAACUUGGCUUAGAUCAACCUGACUGAUAAACAUGUUUCUCUCAGGCAAUUCUUUAUCAUUUUUACAGCAUUCAGUUCAUAAUUGAAAAACAGACCCUUUCCCUGGCAGUUGAUCGUACAGUCUUGUCUUGAAGUUUUGCUCUCUUAAGGUGCGAUUACAUUGUGAAAAGGCAGUAAACCUUUAAAUGAAUGUGGUAGUGGGAUUGAACGUGGCUAAUUGUGGAAGUAUAUGCAUUGAUAUUUUUAAUAAGAGAUAUCCAUUUCUUCUAAUUAAACAAAUAAAAAUUAACAAAAAUUUGUAUUAUGUGGUUAAUUUUGGCCAUUAGAAACUUGGCUGUGAUUAAAUAAUUCCCUAUCAUAUAAACCGUGCAUAUCUUUUUUUUUUUUUCUUUUCCUUCCCAUGGAGUACUGCUUCAUAAAUACACUCUCAUACAGUAGACGUCUUUCACUUUAGAAAUAAAUCACCAGUUGUUUUCCUCUUUCUCCAUCUCCUAAUAUGGAACUGUCAAUUGUUAAUUAACUUGGCCUAUCAGUUUGACUAUUUUAAGAGCACAAGACAAGUUAGGACCAUGUACAAUACUGUUUGCCACAGUGUGAGCUCCCCAACCACCACAGCAGCUUAUGGUUUAGAAAGGACUGAUGCAUU